rnacentral:sRNA from 1 species
GCAUCUUCUUUCUGCCUUUCCUUGUAGUCAUCUUCACUCUUCCGGUCGUGGUUUUUAUAUUGACCAACUGGCUGGCCCCUGCACCCCUUGUUCAACUCCAGUGAACCUGAGUCAGGCACGUAGCCAAGGGGGCCACUGGAAGCAACUUGAAAAGGACUCUACACAGUGAUUCUCUCUACUCCUAUAGCUGUGAAAGUGGCUGGCAUGACACCAUGGAUCCACUACACCCAGAUCAAGAAAACAAAAGCCGUGGAUGCUGCUGCCAAAUGGACUGUCUCUGGACCAUGAGCUCAUUGAAAUCAAGUAAUCGUCGGGGUUCAGGAAUCACCACACAAACCGUACAAACACUGAUCUCAGUUAAGCAAGAAGAGUUUAUUGAAUGCACGCCCCAAGACUGACGGAUCGUGACGACAAGAAGAAUUUGGACGGAUCCACCAGAGAUCCUCCGGAGAGACUGGCAAGAAAUUAGAAAAGCAGGAAGAAGAAAGAUGUAUUCCGCAUAGUUCUGACCUCGGAGGCCAUGGUGGCUGCCCCAUCAGCACUAGGAAUGGGUGUAACUGGGUUUCGGGAGUCCCAGUAGGUCUCCUCUACCUCUGGCAAUCUACCACCAACUGUGAAUGUGCAUCAGAAGUAAAGCAGCUGCUCUAUCCUA